UCAUGCAAGUUAAAUCCAAUCCUUCUAUUGAUGACUACUGCGAACUUUGGAAUAACUGGGAAAAUUCAAGGGAGCAACUGUCACGUUCGGAGUGUUGUGCUUUCUGGGCCCAUGUUUCAAAGCACUGGAGUAAAAACACACAGAAAACUCUUGCCGACAGCUUGUCAAAACUGCCAGUUGAAUCAGGAUCGGAGAGAAUAAUGCUGUUUGACAAACGUGAUGUUUUCAUUGCAGAUGACCUCCAGCUGAAGUAUCUUUUCCAACAAUCUUCGCCUCACUCAAUUUUUGUGUGGUAUCCCCAGCCAAGCAUCCCUUCCUUGCCCCGGACUAAGCUGCUUGACAUCUACAGGGAAAUUGGUGUUCGUUCUAUCUCUAAAUCUGUACAGAAGGAAGAAAUCUCCAAGUUGGAGGCCAGUGAACUCAAGCAAGUGUCUCAGAAGGAAACUUUGAUCGGAAAAGGCCUGCUGAAACUCAUUCUUGGCUUUCUCGCUGGUCCUUCUAUUGAAAUGGAAGCAGGACAAAGGCUGGAAGCUGUCAAAGGCCUUCUCAAUCUUAAGGUGUUUGAGACGGAGGGGCAAACUGCAGCAAGCUACAGAUUGUCAAUGUCUUCUGGGGAAACCAUGGACGUUGAUGCAAGAGGAAUGAUGCGCUGGGACCGGGAGGAUUCCAAGCUUUUCAUGCAGAAGAUGGAUAUAUCGGGUGGACAUAAAAAUAAAAUCGAAUAUGCUACAAUCUUCGCUGAAGUAAUAUCAGAGGGCGUCUUACAGGAGAAAGAAGACCAUAUAUCUGAUCUCGCCGAACUGAUCAAGUUGGCAUUCUUCCUGGAUUUUGAUGAGGAAGCAGUUGGGUUCUUGAUGAGAUCCAAGAAUCUCCAAGUUUUCUUGGAGGACGAGGAGCUUCUCUCUUCAGCCCUUUCUCUCGACUAGGUAUGCAUUCUAUGCCAUGACCAAUAAAUAGUUGAAAGUGUCAUUUUCCUUAUAUUUCCCCGUUUGAAGUGUGUACUGGUGUGUGCUAUUAGAAUAUUAUAUAAUGUAUAUGAAUCUGGUGUGAAAUGGCUGAUUUAGGCAGCCUAUAUUGUGAUAAUUAUGCCCUUGUGCUUGCCUUUUUUAUUAAAUCGAUUUAAUAUUAAUUGACAUGCAAGAGACAAAAUUAAAUAUUUAAAAGGAGAUGCAUGUGAAGAUCUAAUCUACUCAUAUGUUUUCAAACACUAAAAGUAAAAAAAAAAUUAUAUUGUAAGAGUUCAACUUUAACAUAUCAAAUUAUAAAAAAAUAAAAAAAUUACAAUAUAUCAUCCUUAAAAUAGAUGGUUGCAAUUUUUUUUUAAUCCUCAUUAAUUAUUUUUUAAAUGACUAUAUUAUUUGCUAUAGAGAAUACUCCAUCUCUAUACCUAAAUUUAACACUUGAAGAAAAAUUUUCUUCGGCUUUGAACCCCGUGAAACUCGGUUGCAUUAGAAGUUACAAAUAAAAAUGAUUUCAUUACUUUAAUAAGAUAAUAUGAGAGUAUUUGAUAUAUAAAAUUAAUAAAUGAACAUAGUCUAAUAUUUAAUUUAAUUUAUUAACCAUAUUAUGGAUUUUUUAAUUAAUUUAUUUAAUGUCAAAAAAUCUUUUUUUAGGUCUAAUAAACCCAAAAAAAAAAAAAAUUAAAACAUGUUAGGUAUUGUUUUGUUUAAUUGUUAUUAGAUUAUUAGAAAACAAUUUGGGAGUAGUUAUUAAUCGUUUUCAAAAACAAAAUUAUAUUUGAUAUUUUAAAAAUAGUUCAUUGAUUUUGUUCUCAAUGAAAGUACCAUAAACUUUAACAUAAAAUAUAAUUUUUUUUCUAAAUGUGUUCUAUAUUUUUAAUUGUUUAUUAAGACAUUUGAAAAUAUGUUAAAUUUAUUUUCAAAAUAAUAUGUUAUCAAAAUAAAUUUUGAAAAACGGUUUUGUUUCAAAAGUCUACCAACUAUUUUCUAGGUUGGAAAAUUGGUUUUAGUUAUACAAUAAUAAUUUCCAUACGGAUGCUUGAGAUAUGGAUUUAGUACCAUAUUAAAUUUAUGUAUUUAAAUAUAAAUCAUUGAAUAAAAAUAUAGCAAAAAAAAAGAUAUUUAAAUGUAAAUAUAUUGGACCACGUUAUAAAAAAAUAAAAAAAACAAGAGAACGAGACUAUUACAAGUAUCGAAGUAUGAAAUUCAAGGUGCCCACAUAAACCUUUUUUAUUGAGCACCAUUCUAUAUAAAGAUUUAUUUGAAAACUUAUUUUGAAAAUAGCUUUGUGUUUAAAUGUCUUUAUAGUUGAGAAACAAUAAAUUCAUAUUUCCUUUUUUUUCAACUUCCAUGCAAUACCUAUAGAGUCACUGUGAUUCUUGCAAAUGAGUUGAACUUGAAUCCCAAAAGUGAAUAAAAAAUUGGAUCUACAUUGAAUUGUCUUGUUGAUCUACGUUAAAUUGCCUCAUCAAUUCUUUUGAGUAAAAACUUGAUCUUAGACUUAAUUCAAACAAAAGGAGUACAUUAUGCUAAUGUAUCUUGAAUGAUCCACAUCUCAAGGUAGUUGGCCCAAUAUAUCGGGAUGAUUGGCUUAAUGAGCAUAGGGGUGGUUGACCCAAUAAGCACAUUGAAGAAUUAAUGUGACUAGUCUUGAUGUUUUUAUAGGGAUGGUAAUGGAUAAGUUUUUUUUGUACCAUCUAUGCCCAUGGGACAAAUUUGAAAGAAAUGUAUAUUGAAUGGGCUUUAUUGUUGUUUUUUCUUAAAAAAAAAAAAAAACUAGAGUCAUCAAAGAAGGUUUUCUUACCAAACCUAAUUAUAUAAAAUUAGAUAAAAAUAAUUUCAUUUCAUUUUCUUUUGACAAAAUUAAAAUUAAAAAUUUUGAAAAAUAAUUUAAAAAUUAAAGGAGAUAUGAGAGAGGUAAGCAUGGGAAAUUGCUAGGGUGCAACUUGGGCGGGUUGGAUUGGGCCAACCCAAACCUAACCCUCUAUUUGGACGGGCUUAGAUAGAUGUUUUUAAUAUUUGGGUUGAACUUGUAUUAAGUUUUCUCAAUAUGAACCCAACCCAAACCGGUUUAAUGUUUUUAUACUUGUAUAAUAAUAUUCAUCUCCUUUUCAAAUUUUAAAAAUAUCAAAUUAUAAAUAUAUCAUAUACUUCUCAUUUAUAUAUAUAUAUAUAUAUAUAUAUAUAUAUAUAUAUAAGUUUAUUUUUAUUAUAAAAUAUGAAAUUUUGUACCACUAUGGUAACUUAUGGAUGAUCAUCCAUAAAUAUAUUUUAUAACUCUUUAUAAAAGGAAGAGACUUCUAAUGAAAUUUAAUAGAGUUUUCUAAUACAUUCUAUUAUCUCUUUCUUGAUUUCUUCUUCUCUCAUUUUGUUUUAUAAUAAUUUUUACUUUUUUAUUGUUAUCUUGAAAUUUUGUCUUAUUUUUUAUAUAAAUAUAUAUAAUUUAAAAAAAAAACCAUUAUGAAUAAAUUUUAAAUUAUGCAACCCAACCAAUUCCACUCUUGUCCAAUCAACUUGAGUUUAAUUCUAUUAACCCAAUUUUAAUCCAAGUUUAAAAAAACAAGAUUGAGCACUUCAAGUUAGAAAUCGGAUUAAAUUGAGUUUGGGUUAAUCAUUUCUUAAUUUAAAUUAAACUCAAGUUAACUUUCAACCUAUUCAAGUUGUAACCUUAGAAAUUCUAUACCUAUCUCAAUCUACCAUUUUUUAGUUAAAACUUUUUUUAGGAUGGAAAUAUGAGUAAUUUUAAAUAAUAUAAGUACCCAUCCUCAUCCAUUGAGUUGCUAUCCCUAGUGUUUUUAUAGGAUUGCCACCCUCUAUUUUGAGUAUUUUUAGAAGAUUGUCGGUCUCGUUAUUAGCUCAUAUUUAUAGUUUAAUCCUCUUGGAGACUCCCGUUCUACUUGUACAGUCACUUAUAUGUUUUUUUAUCCAUCUCCCUUUGGAAAAUGAGAGGAAAAGACAAUGCAAGAACUCUAUGGUCCAUAAAGACUCGGCGUGGAGGAAUGGUGACGUCACUUUCUAGUACAAUGGGCCAAACUUUUUUCUCAUUUUCCACUAGGUGGGUGCCUUUUAAAAUCUUUAAAUUUUUAUUUUUUAUUUUUGUUCAUUCUUUAUUAAUUCCUUCUCCACUUUCUAAUUCCUUCGCCCGGAGGUUUCCCCUUUGGUUAAAGUUAAUCAUUAAAGGUAAAAAAAGAUUAAAUAAAAUAACAUUUUCAUUAAUAAUCGCAUUAAAGUGAAUCAUCAAAGUUAAUAUGAUUAAAUAAUAUAAUAUUUUGACUAAUAAUUAAGGAUUUAAUUAAAAAUUAUUCUUGAAAUUAGUUUUAUAUCACUUCUUAAUUGUUUUUAGAAAUAGAAUUACAUUUGAUAUUUGAAAAAUAGUUUUUUUUUUUAUCUUAUUUUUCAUUAAAGUAUUAUUAGCAUAAAAGUUUUUAAAAUAUUACUUAUAUUUUCAAUUAUUACUCAAAACACUUUAAAAGUAAUAAACGAAAAUAUCUUAAAUUUGUUCUCAAAACAAUUCAUCUUUAAAAUAAUUUUUCAAAAAACUAUUUUUUUUUUCAAAAGUCUAUUAAAAUUGUUUUCUAAGUUAGAAAAUUGCUUUCAAUUAUAAAAAUAGAGGUUGUUCAAAAAUGUUUUUGAAAACAAUAUUAAAAAAUAUUUGUAUGAUAAUUUCUAAAACAAAAUUUUGUUUAUAAAUUUGAAAUGUUUUAAUUUAUUUUGUGUAUUUAAAUAUUCCUUAAAAAUAUUUUUUUUAUAUGUAUUGAUUGUUAUUUAAAAAAGUUUUAAAAAACAAGAAAAACCAUUAUAUAUUCUAAAGAAAAUAAAUCAUAUUUUUAUAAUAAUUCUCAAAAACCUAUUUUGGGAUAACCAAUAAAAAAACAAAUUUUGAUUUUUUUUUUUUUGUUAAAAUAGCUCAAAAAUAUAACCUAAAAGGUUGUUUUCAAAAAUAGUUUUAAAAUAUAUCCUUAGCAUAUGGAUUUGGUAUCAUAUCAAAACUCAAAAUAUGAAUCUUUAUGUGUAUGAUUAAAAAUAUAUCACUAAGUAAAAAUAUAAAAAAAAAUGAAAUAUUUAUAUAAAUAUAUAGGACCAAAUUAUCAGGGAAAAAAAACAUUAAAAGUAUAAACAAAUGAAAUUUGUAGUUUUUGUAUAAACAUUUUAGCCUAAGUAGUGUUAUAUAUAUAUAUAUAUAUAUAUAUAUAUAUAUAUAUAUAUAUAUAUAUAUAAAGGCUUAUUUGGUAAUGGCUAAUAAUAAGUUCUAUUUGGAAAACAUUUAUUUAUUUACAAAAAAACAGAUUUGAUCAAUUUUUAUUAUUAUUGAAUAUAUAUAUAUAUAUAUAUAAUAACAAAUUUGAGUUGUUUUAGAAAAACAAUUGAAAAUAUGAUAUUUAAAAAAAUUUUACAUUAUGUAUUAUGUACAGGUGUAUAAUACAUGGAAUAAGCUUUCCAAAUUAAAUUCUUUAAGAAAAUUUUGUUUGUAAAAUAAAUUGAGAAGUAUUUUAUGUAAUAAGAGUUUUUUUUAAAAAAACUCUGUAAAAAUUUAUAUUUAGGAAAAUUGCUAAGUUAUCAAAUAGUUAUUAUAUCAACCACUAAAUCUAAAUUAUUGAUCUUCAUAAUUAAAUUUGAAUGAUUGAAUAAAUGUAACAUGAAAUGGGAUCAUAAUGGAAAAUUAGGAAUCAGGUAUAAAAGAAUAAGCUUCUCAAAUGGAAAUUCAUUCAAUUAUAAAUUUCUCCAUUUUUGGAUAUAUUUUUCAAUCACAAUUCUAUAGUUUUUUAUACGAUUUAUCUUUAUUUAAAAAAUAAAAUAAAACAUGCCUUUUUCUUCACUGUAAUUCGUUGAAUCAAAUUUUUAUAAGAUUUAGUAAUUAUUUUAAAUUAGAAAUUUCAAACAAAAAAAUCGGAUAAUAUAAAAUUAGGUAGAAAUAAAUACAAAUAAAUCUAUUUUACACGUGGUCGUUUAUUAUUGGGCAUAUCGAAAAUAAUCAAAAUACACCACUUUUAAAUCUCACUCCCCACAUGCAAGGACGAUUCCAAAUUUCCAACUUCAUGGAACCACACCUCGUAGACCCGAGCAAGUCUCCUCGUCCGUACGUCUCGCCCCUUUUUUUUCUCUUUCUUUAGUUGAUGUCGAUUCCGUUGAUUGCUUACUUCCUUCACAAGUUUUGCUUCUUUACUAAGUUUCUCACAUUCUAGUCCACACAAAACGACGAUGGAUUGGACAUUCUUUAAAUGCGUCUCUUUUAUAUAUGUAGACACUUCUGUGUGUUGCCAUUCAGUGCCCUUGGCAUCUUUCUACUGAGAGUGAAGACUGAGAGUGCUUUGUGUGAAUCGAGAAGGAGGAGUGGUCGUAAUGGCGACGCCGGAGGAGCAUAUAAAGGAGAUAAGGAGGACGAAGUUCUCGAUUGGAGGAGAGCUGAAUCCGCUGACGGAGGAUCUUCACCAGGCGGUGAAGAAUCUCUCAGCUGAGCUUUACGCUAAGGAUGUUCAUUUCCUCAUGGAACUCAUUCAGGUCUGUGCUUUAUAUGUUUGUCUUGUUGUUUUUAGAGAUGUGAUGAGCACUCUGCGUUGUAUGCAGCCAUUGUUUUGUCAUGUUAUUUAAAAUUUUGAGCGCUUUGAGCGCUGCUCUGUUCCUCUGCUAGAAAACCAAGGAAAAUGACGGUUAUGAGACUUUUGAAUAUUUUGUUUUCUUUAUAUGGUAUUUGUUUCUUGGAGAUGACUAACUAGAGAUUCAUAAUUAUAUGAUAUAUCUUUGAAGUAAAAAUCAACUUAGGAAAGUAUAUGAUAUAUUUAUAAUUUGAUAUUUUUAAAAUUUAAAAAGGAGAUGAAUAUUAUUAUACAAGUAUAAAAACACUAAAUCAGGUUUGGUUUUGGUUCGUAUUGAGAAAACUUUAACACAAGUUCAACCCAAAUAUUAAAUCGGUGCACUAACUUUCUGAAGAAUAUGUUACUUAUCUAUUAUUCUAAUUCGAUCAUUAUGAUCGGAAAGUGAAGUGAUAUGGAUUGAGAAUUAGUUUUGCACUAACUUUUUGAAGAAUAUGUUACUUAUCUAUUAUUCUAAUUCGAUCAUUAUGAUCGGAAAGUGAAGUGAUAUGGAUUGAGAAUUAGUUUUGUUACAUUCAAACUUCGGUUACAUUUUUUUGGUCUUGGAAAAUCUAAAUGUGAAGAAAUCACAUAUUCUAAAUUUUACAUAACAGAAUGCAGAAGAUAAUGACUACCCGGAAGGUGUAAAUCCAUCACUGGAGCUCGUUAUAACUUCACAGGACAUAACUGGCACUGGAGCAUCCGCGACAUUGUUGAUUUUCAACAACGAAAAAGGGUUUUCAGCUAAAAAUAUUGAGUCUAUCUGCAGUGUUGGGAGGUCCACCAAGAAAAACAAUAGGAAGUGUGGCUAUAUUGGAGAGAAAGGUACCUUCAUUUUUUUACUCUUUCGCUCAUAUCUCUCCAUCUUCCAUGCUGUAAAUUUUAAAACGAAACAGAGCAAGCUCUAACUCUCUGUCUGCAAAAAGAAAUUCUUUCUUUUCGAUAAUCCCUAGUCAACGAUAGACUGUCUCCCGAUUGUCUCUGUGAAACAAUCGGAAGACAACAAGGAUUAGAUAAAAUGAGAAAUAGAGGUAUGUGAUAGUAGAAAGUGAUCUAUCUUGGUUCUAUAUUUUUAUGCAUUUCAUUAAUACUGGGAACAAAAGAAACAAGGGGUCUUAUUAUUCUUACAUGUUCAUUAGUAACAUUCCCUUGAUACUUUCCAAGGGUAUCACUCGUAUUUUGCUUAUGCUUAAUGUUUUCUGAUUCUACUAGAAAUCUUAUAAGAACUUGUUUUGUUAUAAGUGGAUUUAUGGGAUUGGUUCUUCAAUGGUCUUGGGUCAGAAUCCUAUUUUGACUCUGCAUCAUCGAUUCCACUAUUAUUAGUGAGCAAUAAUGGAAAAAUUCUUUCAUAUUCAUAGAAAUAAGGGACAUAAUUUACAUGGAUAUAGUAAGUUUCGCUUGGGCUGCUUUAAUGGUAGUCUUUACAUUUUCUCUUUCACUCGUAGUAUGGGGAAGAAGUGGACUUUAGAGGUACUAUUGAUUCAGUUGAGAAUCUUUAACUACAGAUCAAGUAUAUCCUCAAUUCUUAGAACCUCUAGUGUAGAAACACUUUAUUCAUGUCAAAAAGUUAGCUUAAUCAAUUCAGCUAGACACCCCAACUUUGGUCUUUACUAAGUCAACCUUCUCCUUUGCUUAACUUGCUAGCCUAAGAUGUACACGACUUAAAAGCUAAAAUGAAAACUGUGGGCAAGACUUUUGGUCUUUACUAAGUCAACCUUCUCCCUUGCUUAACUUGCUAGCCUAAGAUGCACACGACUUAGAAGUAUUUCUUAUACAACUUGUCGUCUUGCUAAUAUGCAGGAAUUGGGUUCAAGAGUGUAUUUCUAAUCACAGCACAACCUUACAUAUUCAGUAAUGGAUAUCAGAUACGAUUCAAUGAAGAGCCUUGCCCGCACAGCAAUCUUGGGUACAUAGUCCCUGAAUGGGUUCAGUGGAAUCCAACUCUUGAUGACAUAAAGCAAAUAUACGGUUCUCAUGCAGUCCUUCCAACCACUACCAUAAUCUUGCCUCUAAAGCCUGACAAGAUCGGCCCUGUGAAGGAACAGCUCUCAAGUAUUCAACCUGAAGUUCUAUUAUUUCUUUCAAAGAUUAAGCAGUUUUCUGUCAAGAAACAUAAUGAGGAUCCCAGGCUCAAUACGGUGAAUGCUAUAUCUAUUUCAAGUGAAAUUAACUUUGUUAAAAGGAAGAAUAUUGAUGCUGAUUCCUAUAUUCUCCAUCUCUCCACGGAUGGAGCUAAGGAUGUGACUGAAAAAGAAUGCAGCUAUUAUAUGUGGAGGCAGAAGUUCCCUGUCAGGCAGGAAAAUCAAGUAGAAAGAAGACUUGGAGUGGAGGAGUUGGUUAUUACGCUGGCAUUUCCAUUUGGACAGCGACUGAAUAGAGGGAUAAGCUCUCCAGGAGUCUAUGCAUUUCUUCCCACGGAGAUGGUUACAAAUUUUCCUUUCAUUAUUCAGGCAGAUUUUGUUCUUGCAUCAUCCAGGGAAACAAUCCUCUUGGACAACAAAUGGAACCAAGGCAUUCUAGAUUGUGUGCCUUCUGCUUUUCUUAAUGCCUUCAUUUCACUGGUUACAACAUCACAAGAUGUUCCAGUCUCUACACUGACCCCAAUGUUUAAGUUCUUGCCUAUCUACAGCUCUCCUUAUCCAAAGCUCAAUGAUGUGAGGGAGUUGAUCAAAGCAGAACUGCUUAAGAAGAAUAUCGUACCAUGUGAGUCGUAUUCAGACCAGAAGAUCUUUCGUAAACCUUGUGAAGUGGGUAGGUUAAUGCCUUCUUUCUGGAAUAUCCUGAAAAAGGCAAGGAAGCAAGGGGUAAGUUUGCAUUCUCUGUCAUCCCAUGGAAAGUAUAUUCUGAAUUCUUCAUUUGAUACAGAGGAGUACGAUCACAUAUUGAAUUUCCUUGGUGUGGAACCUGUCAAUAGCGAAUGGUAUGCCAAGUGUAUCAAGAGUUCCAAUCUUGUUUUGGGAGUGACAGAGGAUGGUUAUUUGGAGCUUCUACUCUUUAUUGCUGAGAAAUGGAGUUCCUCUUUCUACAGCACCGACAUGAAGAAUGUUCCUCUCCUAAAAUAUGUUGGUCCUGAUGGAAAUGUUGUUUUGUGCGCUACAAGCAAUGUCACAAUGUGGAAUGGUGAAAGUACGAUUUGUAUGUCCCGUGAGUCUCAGCAUAUUUCAUGGUUGAUAGACUGGAACAGGGAAUUUAGACGUGUGACAGAUCGAUAUUUUGUGCCCAAAAGCACACAAGAAGCUAUCAGGUCUUUUUUUAAGAGAGAGACUCUCUUGGAAUGGCUUCAAAAUCAAGUGAAGGUUCGGGCUGUAAGUGUGAAAGACUUUGCAGUCAUUCUUUGUAAUUCUCUUAAGGGUGACCGACAGCUUGCUAUCGCCUAUGUUCACUUCCUUUAUCAUUCCCUCUCGAAGAGUUAUCUACCAAAGGGGGAUGUUGACAAUUUGUGUGGUAUCAUGCCACUUGUAGAUAACUAUGGGCAUGUGAGCACUCAGAGAAAAGGGGUUCUCGUUCCUGCUAACGGAAGCAAAUGGGUGGGAUUAAUGGGUACAAAUCCGUGGAGGGGAGCAGGCUAUGUUGAGCUGGGAGAAGACUAUUUGCGCUCAGGCAGUUAUGCAGGUUUAUUCACAUCAGAGAUGCAACUAAUGACGUUUCUCAAAACUCAUGUUGCAGCUUCUGAUAUACCUCAUAUAUCUCCUCCCGACGCCGAGUUAUCUGCCGCAUAUGCACCACUCACCAAGCAAAAUGCAUUCUUGCUGUUGGACUGGAUUCACAACCUGAAAUAUAAGCAAGGUCUGCCAGCUAAGUUCCUGACAUCCAUUAAGAAGGGAAGCUGGUUCAAAAUUUCCCUCAGUGGCAGUCCUGGAUAUAGGCCACCAUCAGAGUCUUUCCUGCUUGCUUCAUCAGAUGAAAAUCUUCUGCAGGACGAGUCAGUAAUGGUUGAUAUUCCUUUGAUUGACCAAGGAUUUUAUGGAAAUGGCAUCAAUUGUUAUAAGGAGGAGCUCAAAACUGUUGGAGUAAUGUUUGAAUAUGGCGAAGCCUGUGAGUUUAUAGGGAGGCACCUCAUGUCUCUUGCAGCUUCCUCUGCGUUGACUAAAUCCAGUGUGUUUGAAAUACUCAAGUUCAUCAGAUUUUUGAGACUUAGAUUUCUUCCGGCUGAUAAAUUCAUCCAGAGUAUCAUAAAUGGAAGAUGGUUGAAGACUUCCUGUGGUCACAGGUCUCCAGUUGGAUCUGUUUUAUUUGACCAAGAAUGGAAAGCUGCAUCACAAAUCAGUGACAUCCCCUUCAUCGACCAAGAUCACUACGGCAAGGAAAUCCUUCGUUUCAAAAUGGAACUCCAAUUGCUAGGUGUGGUAGUUGGCUUCAACAAAAAUUACCAGCUUGUUACUGAUCACUUAAAGUCUCAAGCAUGCUCAAAUCAUCCAACAGCCGAGGCUAUUCUUUUGAUAUUUGAAUGCAUGCGUGAUUGUGAGCGCAAUUCAAGAUCAGCCCAUAAACUUAUACAGGCGCUUAAAGGUAAUAAAUGCUUGAAGACGAACAUGGGCUACAAGUUUCCUAGUGAAUGUUUCCUGUUUAAUACUGAGUGGGAUUCGCUUCUGAAAGUCUUCCAUAAUGAUUUCCCACUUAUUGAUGAAGACUUCUAUGGGACCAGCAUCUUGUCUUACGAAAAAGAGUCGAGGCAAGCGGGAAUAGUGGUGGAUUUUGAAGCAGCGACUCAGAAAUUUUUAGCUGUUUUCAAGAAGCAUGCAUCCUCGUCUUCCAUUGGAAGAGAACAUGUUCUGUCUUUUCUCAGGUCUUACAGACAGAUUGAUAAGACAAACAAGUUUCCUUCAGAUUUUAAGCGCGACAUCUGUCAGGCAAAAUGGCUGCAAACACGGCUUGGUGUUCCUAGAUCACCGAGAGAGUGCAUUCUUUUUGGCCCGGAGUGGGAACCUGUAAGUUCAAUUACUGUGCUUCCUUUCAUUGAUGAUAGUGACAAGUACUAUGGCAAGAGAAUUCAUGAAUAUAGUAAAGAGCUGAGGAGCCUGGGUGUUACCAUCAAGUAUAAAGAUGGGGUGAGGUUUGUGGCUGCAGGUGUCUACUUUCCCCAAGAUCCCAGCACCAUAACUCCUGAAAGUGUGUUCUCUCUGCUGCAGUGCAUCCAGAUAUUAAUGAAAGAUGGUUAUACUUUGACUGAUGCUUUCCGGAAAAAGGUUUCUCAAAGUUGGUUAAAAACCAAUGCUGGGUAUAGGUCUCCAGGCCAAAGUUUGUUGUUUGGCUCUGAGUGGGGUUCUUUCUUACACAGAAACGAUGGACCUUUCAUUGAUGAAGAAUUCUAUGGCCCCAACAUUACAGCCUACAAGAACGAGCUCGAAGAAAUAGGAGUGACCAUUGAUGUGUUAAAUGGGUGCUCUUUGCUUGCUGGCUAUCUUGAUUUUCAUUCUGAAUUUUCAACCAUUGUUCGAGUCUAUAAUUACUUGAAUAAACACGGCUGGUCGCCUUGCAAUGAUACUCCUAGAAGGAUCUGGAUCCCUAAUGGGAGUGACAGUGGAGAGUGGGUUAGUCCUGAAAAAUGUGUUAUUCACGACAAGGAUGGUCUCUUCAGUUCACGACUGAAUGUUUUAGAGAAACACUAUAAGCCGGAAUUAUUCAGCCUUUUCUGCAGAGUCAUGCAAGUUAAAUCCAAUCCUUCUAUUGAUGACUACUGCGAACUUUGGAAUAACUGGGAAAAUUCAAGGGAGCAAUUGUCACGUUCGGAGUGUUGUGCUUUCUGGGCCCAUGUUUCAAAGCACUGGAGUAAAAACACACAGAAAACCCUUGCCGACAGAUUGUCAAAACUGCCAGUUGAAUCAGGAUCGGAGAGAAUAAUGCUGUUUGACAAACGUGAUGUUUUCAUUGCAGAUGACCUCCAGCUGAAGUAUCUUUUCCAACAAUCUUCGCCUCACUCAAUAUUUGUGUGGUAUCCCCAGCCAAGCAUCCCUUCCUUGCCCCGGACUAAGCUGCUUGACAUCUACAGGGAAAUUGGUGUUCGUUCUAUCUCUAAAUCUGUACAGAA
rnacentral:lncRNA from 1 species